CCUACGGGCGGCUGCAGUGGGGAAUAUUGGACAAUGGGCGCAAGCCUGAUCCAGCAAUGCCGCGUGUGUGAAGAAGGCCUGCGGGUUGUAAAGCACUUUCGGUGGGGAGAAAGAGGCCAUUACUAAUACUAAUGGCGGAUGAUGUUACCCACAGAAGAAGCACCGGCUAACUCUGUGCCAGCAGCCGCGGUAAUACAGAGGGUGCGAGCGUUAAUCGGAAUUACUGGGCGUAAAGGGUGCGUAGGUGGUUACUUAAGUUAGGUGUGAAAGUCCUG
rnacentral:rRNA from 1 species